AUAUCGGUUAUCGGCUUUCAAAUAUAAAGAAUUAUCGGUUAUUGGUCGAUAUAUCGGUUAUCGGCUUUCAAAUAUAAAGAAUUAUCGGUUAUUGGACGAUAUAUCGGUUAUCGGCUUUCAAAUAUAAAGAAUUAUCAGUUAUCGUAUCGGCCAAUAUAUCGGUUAUUGGCUUUCAAAUAUAAAGAAUUAUCGGUUAUCGGCCAAUAUAUCGGUUAUUGGCUUUCAAAUAUAAAGAAUUAUUGGUUAUUGGCAAAUAUAUCGGUUAUCGGCUUUCAAAUAUAAAGAAUUAUCGGUUAUCGGCAAAUAUAUCGGUUAUCGGCUUUCAAAUAUAAAGAGUUAUCGGAUAUCGGUAUUGGCCAAUAUGUUGAUAUCGGUGCAUUCCUAAACCUGGAUGAAUUAAGUGUGUAAAAUUGUUGAUGACGUUAACGUACCUUAUUGUUAAGUGUUACUGAUUCUUCUUUUAUUGAUUUCAAGCACCUUCGCUCAAGCUUUACACGGAUCACUGACCUUCUGCAUUCUGUGCAAGAGCAUUAAAUUAAUUCCAAAUUGGAAUGCUGUAAUUCUCUCUUAACUCUAUUGUGCCAAGUGUGGGUACAGCGUCUGAUCAGAACCCGUGAGAUCUCUACCUAACCCUCAGUUCGGUCCCCGUUUAUGAUCCUCAUUCUGACCAUUAGUGCCUUUUUUUGUUGUUUUUCACGAGAGAGUCCUAGCUUAGCGUUUAGUUUGUGUUUUAUUUUCUCACUCCUCAAGGAAGAACAGCGGAUGGCUUGUUUUAAACUCAGCAGCAAUAAGACAAGAAGACAUUCAUUCUGUUUUCUAGGGUGUGUGGAGAUAUGAAUAUUAGAGAAAUGAACCGAUUGUGCUGAAUUCGUCAGGUCAGUGAUCUUAAUCGCAAAUUCAGGGGUUUUAGAAAAGGUUAUUUUUCGUCAGAUGGUUGAAGCCAGAAUUAUUGUUCUUUCGCCUCGAUAUGAGACUGGUGUUAUUCUAGCUUUGUACGGUGAGGUAGGAGGUCAUGUGAUAUUGAUAGUAUUGUUAACAAUGGUGAGAAAGCUCGUCUCUCUUUCUAUCCAAUUGUUUAUUAUUAUAUUUUUGUUUCUUUGUUUUUUAUUAAACAUUUUUGACAUGGUUAUAUGAGCAUUACAAUUUCAGGAAACAGAAAACACGCUGCAUCAACAAGCAAACGGUGCCAUGAAAGUCACAUUGUGUUUGUUGAGGCGUAAAAUUAAUAAACACAGUCAGCGCGUGAAGAAGAACUAAAUUAAGUGCAAUUACAAGGACAUUAAAGUUAUGCGGUUAAUAAGGUUUUCUGUUUGCUGGAAGUGAUGGCAUUGUGAUAUUAGCUGUGGAAGCUUAUUAUUGGAAACUCUUAUUAUUGUGUUCCAGUAUUGAUCUAUAAGGAUCUAUAAGUUUGAUAACUUUAUAUACAAUAACACUCAUUUGAUAUGUGGUCAGUACUGAACUUUAUAAUGUGCAUUAUGAUGUCGGAUGCAUGUUUCUCUCGGCUAUGAGACUUGUACACAGAACUGAAAACAAACGUACGACUCCAAACACUUGGAAAAAGACUCAAAGUAUUUAGUUUUGAAUUGGUCCGCGGCUCUUGAAUAACCGAGUUAAAGUGUUGUUUUCUAUUGUCUGUGUAGAGGUAGUCAUGCUGGGAAAGUCAGUAAAUGCAAAUAAAAAGUCACUCAGA